rnacentral:lncRNA from 1 species
AAUGCCUUCAAAUUUAUGGCCCUCAGAAGCUUCACCAGUGUGAGUCAUUUCCUUUUAACAGCUUAAGCACCUGAAGCAGGUCAAGUUAUAAGAUUUAGUCUUUCUCGAUUGUUUAAGCGUUCAACAUGCAGAUCAAGAUAAUGGGGACUACCAGUUGACUAUGAGAUCCAUCCUCAACAACAAUAUGAGAGCAGAAAUUUACAAUGAAAAUGGAACUCAAGAAACAAGAACCGAAGAGAAAGUAAAUACUUUUUCGAGACAGAUAGCAGAAGUACAUCUAAACUUAUGCGCAGGGUAUGUAUGGUUAAAGCACAGAUAUGGAAGUACAAACUCCAAAACAACUAGUUAGAUUAAUGGAAACUGUUCAGAACUUGCAACUGCAGAAUGCAUGAAAUUAGUUUCUUUACAAGAAACAAACUGAAUACCUACCAAUCUAAUUAAAGUUUCAACUUUAAUAGGUAUGACCUAGUUUAAGAAUGCUACAUUGUAACAGGGAUAAAAAGACACAUAUUCAUCUAAAAACAAAAGUUUUGCAUGACAGUAUAUAUUUAGAUUAGAAAGAGGUAAAUUUAGUGCCGAAUGUGGAGCAAUAACUAGUAAUAGGUCGAUGCGCAUAUAUAUAUGGGAAGAAAAAGUAAGGCUCAUUAUGUCACAAAGAUCAUGUAGAAGUCAUUCUGAUAUAUUUUGCAUUUUAAAUUGAGAAGGUUACAAAGAUCAGGACCACUAACAAAGUAACAUUUUAAAUACUCACAAUAGUAAAAUUGAAGGAAAGCUUCAAGAAUACCAAACCUGCACAAUAAGUUAUCAUUAGCAAGUUAUAAAGAAGAGAAGCUUUUGAAAUGCAGGUUAUAAAUCUCAGAUCUCAUGAGCCGUAUAAGUACACAAACAAUGCAAUAGAUAAAGCUAAAUUCAAAUCCAACAAUCAAGUAAACAACCAAUUCAUGAAAGUUACUUGUUUCAUUCUACAGCUUAGAUAAAAUGAAAUUCAUUUCCCAAAGGGUACACAUCACGAACGUUGAUAUAAACAACAACCUGCUAUUCAAGUGGAGAAGGGUAGAGGCGGGGCCCAUAGUUUUUAAAUCUUGCACCACUGGCCCUCGGGAUAUCUCUAUUACUAAAAGAAAAUCAUUUCUUAAGCGAAAGAAAAUGAACCUUAACGAUUAUUGAAACCGAAGAGACCAAGAAAGGUUUCAGCACAAAGCACCACUUAAUUAGCUAAUGAAAUUCUCUAUGAGAAAGACCAAAUGCUAUCACGAAAAAUUGCUCAAUUCAUAUCCUCUCUGCGUUCAUAUCUGAUUUUAGUACAUGCAUGAUGCCUUUUGAUUCGCAAAAACUUUUUCUUGAAGCACACAACAAACUAAAAUGCUUAAGGGAAAAGCUCUUUUAUCAGAGUUCAGAUUGAAAAAAUUAAUUAAGAAAAACACCAAUCUUAUCAUCCAAAUAAGGACAUUCCCAUAUAUGGGGGAUUUAUUUAUACAUAAACUGAAUGUAGAGGUUAGAAAUCAAGACUUCAAGAAGGAAAAAAAACGAUUCAGAUAGAAACAAUCAAACUAAAACUAUAAGAAGCUUUAUCAAAAACCUGAAAAUCCUCAAAAAAUUCAUCACUCAAUUAACUGAAAAAACACAGUAAAAUCACUGGGUAAGAAUAACCUGAAGAAGAAGAGAAGAAACGUAAUGCCCAGAAGGAGAGAAUUGUUGAAUGUGAACAGCUAUAUAUGAAGAAGGCUUACUCUUUUUGUCUUUGCUGGACAUUUAUUCUGUAAUCCAUUUUGGAUUUUGACUCUUUAUAAUCCAUUUUGGAUUGUGCCUACUCUUACACUUCUUCAACUCUGUGGUAAUUGAGGCAAUGUUUUGCAGAUUCACUUUUUUUUCUUUCUUUUGACUAUAUGUUGAAGCAUCAAACUGUCAUCACUAAAUAGAAAUACGCAAACCACAUUUUCU